rnacentral:rRNA from 1 species
AGAGACAGCAGCAGCCGCGGGAAUACAGAGGGUGCGAGCGUUAAUCGGAUUUACUGGGCGUAAAGCGUGCGUAGGCGGCUUUUUAAGUCGGAUGUGAAAUCCCUGAGCUUAACUUAGGAAUUGCAUUCGAUACUGGGAAGCUAGAGUAUGGGAGAGGAUGGUAGAAUUCCAGGUGUAGCGGUGAAAUGCGUAGAGAUCUGGAGGAAUACCGAUGGCGAAGGCAGCCAUCUGGCCUAAUACUGACGCUGAGGUACGAAAGCAUGGGGAGCAAACAGGAUUAGAUACCCGAGUAGUCCCUGUCUCUUAUAC